AUUAUUAUCACUUCUCUUAUCAAUGUCAAUACAAGUGAUAAAAAAUUUGUCACAAGUAUACAUAAAAUGAGGUGCGGUUGGUUGUUGUCUUUAAAACGCUUGAAGAUAAACGAACGCUGUUACGAACCGAAAACAUCUAUUUUUAUUUUAAAAUAACGCCAAGUGGAGACAGAUAAUAACGCAAUUACGUAACUAUUUCUCUGAUCGAAUUCCAUUCAAAGAAAAUGCACAAAUAAUAAUAAUAAUAAUAUAAUUAAACACAUCUUGAGCUUGAGAAUGUUCUCACUGAUUAUGCGGUUUUUACAAUUUCCGAUAAAAUAAUUGCAAGAAUGUGACCGAGGUCAAGAUGCAAUAGAAAAAUUGAAACAAACAAGAACAGAUAAAGAUUGUUUCAAAUAUAUUUGUUCCAUGUUUUCUCUCCUCUCUGUAUUAAUUAAUUAAUUUAACAAUAAAAAUUGGACGAGAGAAAGACGUGUGAAAACUAACUCACUCCCUUGUCUGUAUUUUAAUUUAAAUCCUUUCAAAAUAAUGGUUAUGAAGGUUUCGUGCAUUUUCACUUUUUAUCUAAUUUACAAAUUUUAUGAAUUCCAAUUAUUCCAAUAAUUUAUUCCAUAAUACCAUAAGACCUACUUUCCAUAUUCUCAAUAAAUCGAGUUAUGUAAGAAAUUGGACAAAGUCGUUUAAAUCCCUUACCUGUGAGUUUGUCAUCGUAACAUCCAAAAAAAAAGCUUCAGAAGAACAAAUUCAGUCUCUUGGCAGCGUUUCAUGCAAGACACCACCACAAUAAAGAAGACUGGAAAACACAGAAAGUAAAAACACCAAAAGCAAAAACAAAAAAAAAUUAAAAAAAUAAACUAAGCCAUCAGAAGCAGAUUCUCUCUCAUUCACAAACAAAUAAUCAAUCACUGAACUGAAAGCGCUGCUGACAAGCCGUGCACGCUAUAAACAACUAGAACAGGUGCUUUUCAACGACUGAACUAAUUAAAA